rnacentral:rRNA from 1 species
ACGAACGCUGGCGGCGUGCCUAAUACAUGCAAGUAGAACGCUGAAGGCGGAGCUUGCUUCUCUGGAUGAGUUGCGAACGGGUGAGUAACGCGUAGGUAACCUGCCUGGUAGCGGGGGAUAACUAUUGGAAACGAUAGCUAAUACCGCAUAAGAGUAGAUGUUGCAUGACAUUUGCUUAAAAGGUGCAAUUGCAUCACUACCAGAUGGACCUGCGGUGUAUUAGUUAGUUGGUGGGGUAACGGCUCACCAAGGCGAGGAUACGUAGCCGACCGGAGAGGGUGAGCAGCGACAUGGGAACUGAGAGAGGGUCAAGACUCCUAUGGGAGGAAGCAGUGGGGAAUAUUGGACAAGGGGCGGAAGCGUGAUCAAGAAAUACGAGGUGGGUGAAGAAGGCGUGCGGGUUGGAAAGCCCUGUGGUUGGGAAAGAAAAGCAGCAGGUUAAUAACCCGAUGGUCUGACGGUACCCAAAGAAUAAGCACCGGCUAACUUCGUG